rnacentral:rRNA from 1 species
UAGGGAAUCUUCCGCAAUGGGCGAAAGCCUGACGGAGCAACGCCGCGCGAGUGAUGAAGGUCUUCGGAUCGUAAAACUCUGUUAUUAGGGAAGAACAAAUGUGUAAGUAACUAUGCACGUCUUGACGGUACCUAAUCAGAAAGCCACGGCUAACUACGUGCCAGCAGCCGCGGUAAUACGUAGGUGGCAAGCGUUAUCCGGAAUUAUUGGGCGUAAAGCGCGCGUAGGCGGUUUUUUAAGUCUGAUGUGAAAGCCCACGGCUCAACCGUGGAGGGUCAUUGGAAACUGGAAAACUUGAGUGCAGAAGAGGAAAGUGGAAUUCCAUGUGUAGCAGUGAAAUGCGCAGAGAUAUGGAGGAACACCAGUGGCGAAGGCGACUUUCUGGUCUGUAACUGACGCUGAUGUGCGAAAGCGUGGGGAUCAAACAGG